AGCUGUUAAUCUGAACGAUCCUUCCUCUUCCAGCGAGGGCAUGUGUGAAAGUUUUAAAACAAAGUAUUUUGGAUGGAGGCCAAAUAGUUCAGCGAUUAACUUCACUUAGUGGAGAGUGCAAGAAGCCUUGCAAGGAGAAAAUAUUCGAAAUUUCACGCUCGUCGAGCAAGUGGCCUCAGCAUUCAACAUUGAAAUUCCUCACUUGGGAACUUUGUCAGCGAGCUAGGAAGAUAAACGCCUCUCAUGUUUGUGCGAUUCCAAAAGAGGAUAAUUUCGUGAACCUGGUGGUGUCUUUUGAUACCACAAGAUAUGAAAAUAGGGAACAGGUACUGGCCUUAUCGGUGUCAGGUCUACAGGCGAGCGUUGGCGGAACACUUGGCCUCUGGGCCGGCAUGUCCAUGCUAACACUACCGGAAGUGGUCCUCCUGAUUAUCGAUCUCAUCCGGCUCUUCCGCCGCAGCCGUAGUCCUGAUGUAGGUGCCCAGAAAGGUGCAGACCACUAAAUUUGCCAGGGUGUCCUGAGAUUCAGGGUAUGUACCCGUAUACAAAAUGAUGUAAAAUUUGAAAUAUCAAGAGAGUGAAUUGAAACCCCCUGAUUAUACGAGGAUGGAAUUAGGGACGAAGUGAGCUGGGGGCCUACAUGUAGAAAGGGAUGACCUCGUUUAUUCCAAUUGAAAGAACUGAAGCACGCACGCCACCUUCCUUCGUUAAACCAACAGAGAAAACAAGUUAAGACUUUUUGACAUCACUGCAAAAUACACUUUCAGUUGUGAAAGGCCGUUCAAGACAGAAUCAGAGACUUUCUAUAAAUGUAUUGAAAGACUCAGAUAGAAUAAAGCAUUUACGAGUA